AUGAACGCUGGCGGCGUGCCUCAUCCAUGCCAGUCGCGCGAACAGACGAGGAGCUUGCUCCCCUGACGUUAGCGGCGGACGGGUGAGUAACACGUGGAUAACCUACCUAUAAGACUGGGAUAACUUCGGGAAACCGGAGCUAAUACCGGAUAAUAUAUUGAACCGCAUGGUUCAAUAGUGAAAGACGGUUUUGCUGUCACUUAUAGAUGGAUCCGCGCCGCAUUAGCUAGUUGGUAAGGUAACGGCUUACCAAGGCGACGAUGCGUAGCCGACCUGAGAGGGUGAUCGGCCACACUGGAACUGAGACACGGUCCAGACUCCUACGGGAGGCAGCAGUAGGGAAUCUUCCGCAAUGGGCGAAAGCCUGACGGAGCAACGCCGCGUGAGUGAUGAAGGUCUUCGGAUCGUAAAACUCUGUUAUUAGGGAAGAACAAAUGUGUAAGUAACUAUGCACGUCUUGACGGUACCUAAUCAGAAAGCCACGGCUAACUACGUG
rnacentral:rRNA from 1 species